AUGAGUAUAAGGAGGCUAAAGCUGUAAGUUAACAUGAUCUCUCACAACUGCUUGUUAAUUAUUGGUAUUUCAAGUGCCCUCUAUUUGUUUCUUUUUUGGGUGGUGGAUUGAUAGUUUCAUUUUAGUUGAUUGUGGAGGAAGUUUCCUUCUUUCAGGGUAUUUAAUUUGAAUUUUCAAGUUAUGCAUGUGAUGAAGUAAGAGUAACACUGAUGCA
rnacentral:misc_RNA from 1 species